GAUGAAGAACGUAGCGAAAUGCGAUAAGUAAUGUGAAUUGCAGAAUUCAGUGAAUCAUCGAAUCUUUGAACGCACCUUGCGCUCCUUGGUAUUCCGAGGAGCAUGCCUGUUUGAGUGUCAUGAAAUUCUCAACCUUUUCAGCUUUCUUUGUUGAUCAGGCUUGGAUGUGGGAGUAUGCGGGCUUCUCAGAAGUCGGCUCUCCUGAAAUGCAUUAGCGGGACCUUUGUUGCCUGGCUUUGGUGUGAUAAUUAUCUACGCCAUUGUAGUCAAGCAGCUUAAAAUGAGGUUUCAGCUUCUACCCGUCUCCCCUGAGACAACUUUUUGACAAUUUGACCUCAAAUCAGGUAGGACUACCCGCUGAACUUAAGCAUAUCAAUAAGCGGAGGA
rnacentral:misc_RNA from 1 species